rnacentral:rRNA from 1 species
GACGUAGGGCGCGAGCGUUGUCCGGAUUUAUUGGGCGUAAAGAGCUCGUAGGCGGCUUGUCGCGUCGUCCGUGAAAACUCAAGGCUCAACCUUGAGCUGCGGUCGAUACGGGCAGGCUAGAGUUCGGUAGGGGGAGACUGGAAUUCCGUGGUGUAGCGGUGAAAUGCGCAGAUAUCAGGAGAACACCGUGGCGAAGGCGGGCUCUGGUCGGAACUGCGACUGACGGCUGAGACGACGAAGCGUGGGGAGCAAACAGG